GUCCAGACCAGAAAUAGAGUGCCAUUCUUUUUCCCAGGACCUCUCCAGUACGCUGGUCAGUCUCUCCAGUGACCAGUGGCAUGGAAACCUGGAAGUCCUACUUCCCUCUUCAAAACCAGGCCUCCUUCUUCUACAAGGCAAACAACAUCCUCCACAUCAGAACAAAAACUGAAUAGACAGACCAUCAAAGCUGUGUAAAAGCAACAGCUGCCCGGACACAUCCCAGGACAGUAAAGCUAUUUACCCGAGGAGCCUUUCAGAUGAUUCAGUGCUUCCCCCGUGAGUGCUUACAGAAGGCCGAGUGGAGUUUUGUAUCAGGGAGUAAAGACUGCAAGAACAAGUCCCUUGGCCAUGGUGCCAAGUUUCCAAGCAGCAGAUGAAAAUGUCUCCAGAAUCUUCUCAUUGCCAUCAUGCCUUCAUGAAAGGUUCAGAGCCAAUGUCACCAUGACGCACCAGCCCACUGUGGAGUGGCAAUUUGAUCAAAUUAUAACACCAACAAAGCCUGUUUUCCAAGGGGAAGAACCAAGUGCUCUGCUCUCUUCUUGUCAUUAAGAAUGAAAUCAUUUAUUUACCUGUGCAAACUUCCCUGGGACUGUACUGUACAACCUCUGCUGAAAUGUAUCGCUUAGCUCAUGCUGAUUUAAAUCUCCUCUUUAAAUUGGAUUUUUGCUGGAUAGCAUCACAAGAGUCCAAAAUGCAAUGGAAGACAGUGGGUAGGAUCAAACAAAGAAUCAACAAGCGAUGCAACCUUGAAAUUAUGAAUUAUCAGUUUGGUAUUUUUCCUUGAAAUCAGCAGCAAAGGGUUCUGGGAACACUGCAGGUUUGAAUUCUGCUGGGCAUUUUUUCAGUAGUGGCUUCCUGAAUUUUAUGUGAAAUUCAGUGAAAAAAUAAUGAAAAACAUAUAUACUUGUAUCAUGACAUAAUUCACUCUAACUGCAAAUAUGUACUUUGUGCUUUAAAGGGAAGUUCUAUAAAUAAAAUCAAUGCAUAUUACUGUGAUUAUAUAUAU
rnacentral:lncRNA from 1 species